CCUACGGGUGGCAGCAGUGAGGAAUAUUGGUCAAUGGACGAGAGUCUGAACCAGCCAAGUAGCGUGGAGGAUGACUGCCCUAUGGGUUGUAAACUUCUUUUAUAUGGGAAUAAAAUGUUCCACGUGUGGGAUUUUGUAUGUACCAUAUGAAUAAGGAUCGGCUAACUCCGUGCCAGCAGCCGCGGUAAUACGGAGGAUCCGAGCGUUAUCCGGAUUUAUUGGGUUUAACGGGAGCGUAGGUGGAUUGUUAAGUCAGUUGUGAAAGUUUGCGGCUCAACCGUAAAAUUGCAGUUGAAACUGGCAGUCUUGAGUACAGUAGAGGUGGGCGGAAUUCGUGGUGUAGCGGUGAAAUGCUUAGAUAUCACGAAGAACUCCGAUUGCGAAGGCAGUUCACUGGACUGCAACUGACACUGAGGCUCGAAAGUGUGGGUAUCAAACAGGAUUAGAUACCCUUGUAGUC
rnacentral:rRNA from 1 species